GAUGAACGCUGGCGGCGUGCCUAAUACAUGCAAGUCGAGCGAAAAGAUGAGGAGCUUGCUCCUCUGACGUUUGCGGCGGGCGGGUGAGUAACACGUGGAUAACCCACCUAUAAGACUGGGAUAACUUCGGGAAACCGGAGCUAAUAACGGAUAAUAUAUUGAACCGCAUGGUUCAAUAGUGAAAGACGGUUUUGCUGUCACUUAUAGAUGGAUCCGCGCCGCAUUAGCUAGUUGGUAAGGUAACGGCUUACCAAGGCAACGAUGCGUAGCCGACCUGAGAGGGUGAUCGGCCACACUGGAACUGAGACACGGUCCAGACUCCUACGGGAGGCAGCAGUAGGGAAUCUUCCGCAAUGGGCGAAAGCCUGACGGAGCAACGCCGCGUGAGUGAUGAAGGUCUUCGGAUCGUAAAACUCUGUUAUUAGGGAAGAACAAAUGUGUAAGUAACUAUGCACGUCUUGACGGUACCUAAUCAGAAAGCCACGGCUAACUACGUG
rnacentral:rRNA from 1 species